GCCGGGGUGGGGUAGUCUGGUUAUCCUGGGGGCCUGUGGAGCCCUUGACCUGGGUUCGAAUCCCAGUCCCGGCC
rnacentral:tRNA from 1 species